UACGGAGGGUGCAAGCGUUAUCCGGAUUCACUGAGUUUAAAGGGUGCGUAGGUGGCUUUGUAAGUCAGUGGUGAAAUCUUAGAGCUUAACUCUAAAACUGCCAUUGAUACUGCUUAGCUUGAAUCAAGUAGAGGUGGAUGGAAUAAUACAUGUAGCGGUGAAAUGCUUAGAUAUGUAUUAGAACACCGAUUGCGAAGGCAGUUCACUAUGCUUGUAUUGACACUGAGGCACGAAAGCGUGGGGAUCAAACAGG
rnacentral:rRNA from 1 species